rnacentral:rRNA from 1 species
GACGAACGCUGGCGGCGUGCUUAACACAUGCAAGUCGAACGGUAAGGCCUUUCGGGGUACACGAGUGGCGAACGGGUGAGUAACACGUGGGUGAUCUGCCCUGCACUUCGGGAUAAGCCCGGGAAACUGGGUCUAAUACCGGAUAGGACUGCGCGGUGCAUGCCGUGUGGUGGUAAGAUUUAUCGGUGCAGGAUGGGCCCGCGGACUAUCAGCUUGUUGGUGGGGUAAUGGCCUACCAAGGCGACGACGGGUAGCCGGCCUGAGAGGGCGACCGGCCACACUGGGACUGAGAAACGGCCCAGACUCCUACGGGAGGCAGCAGUGGGGAAUAUUGCACAAUGGGCGCAAGCCUGAUGCAGCGACGCCGAGUGAGGGAUGACGGCCUUCGGGUUGUAAACCUCUUUCAGCAGGGACGAAGCGUGAGUGACGGUACCUGCAGAAGAAGCACCGGCCAACUACAUG